rnacentral:sRNA from 1 species
CAUACAUACAUACAUACAUACAUACAUACGUGCAUACAUGAAUUCAAGAAUGAUUAAGUAAAAUGGCUUUCUCUUUUGUUUUAUUCAGAGCUGAGAACUGAACCAAGGCAUGGCACAUGCUAGAGAACUUUCGCUCGGAUGGUAUCAAACCAUCUAAGAGGAAACAUAAACUUGUUGGCGUUUCACUCCAUCCAGUAAAACAACAACAACAACAACAACAACAACAACAACAACAAAAACACCCAAAAGAAAAAAACCAAAAUAAAAAUAUACAAGGAAGCUAAACAAAAUGAAAUUAUCAUCAAGAAGAUGGAAAAGGUGGGGAAACGCCACAUCUGAGACUACUUCCGGGUUGCUGAACUAUUUCUCCCUUGGAAGGAAGACCAAAGAGAGGCAGUGUAUCAAUCGUCACGUUCUCAGUACUUGUUUAGGAAUCAUACUUUUGCCCUUAUGUUUCCAUCCAAUUCUUUGGUUUAUAAGACAAUCAUGGAUUUCAGUGUCCAGAAAUGCAGACUUCUCAACCAAACUUCUAACCCUGCUUGGGUUGACUUAAAAUUAGUCUACGCGGCUUAAAUCAUUAAUGUGUUUGAGAAAAGAUUUUCUGUUUGACUCUGAGCCUAAAAAUAUUUCCUUCGAAGCAAGGAACAUGGUGUUAGGUCUUCUAAGAAAAUAUAUUCCCUAUACAACUCAUUGUUUCAUAGGCUGUGUUCGCCAGAAAACAAAGCAAAACAAAAACCCUGUACCAAGUAAAACUUGACUUUAAGGUUAAUGACAGUCUUUUACUGUAGGCACCGUACAAACACCUCCUGAAGAAUGCACACAUCGGGAUCCUUUGCUGUUCCUCUGAACUCUGAAUUUAUCUGAGUAGCUUCAGCUUCGUUUGCUGACUAAGGGACCUCUACAGCUGCAAGACCAUUGCUCCCAUCAUCCGAUGCGUGUCCUAAAUUCUUCCAAAGUCCAGCCUUUCCUGCCUUCAGAAGUGAAGAAUGCCUCCAGAUUUAUUAACUGUUCUAAAGUAGUUCACUCACAGUCAUCUUUGGUGACCACUUUCCAGCACAAUUGGAAACAGUAGUUACUUUGAUGAUGAAAAUGUUAAAGUGAGAAGUCGUAAAAAUGAAACGUACACACCUUUUGCGUUUUAUUUCAGAACACAUGAGUGUCAAUCUUUUGAUGUGGGGCCAAGACCUCUCCUUUAAGUAUGGAUCCCCGAGUUCGGCCUCUCCAUUAAGCUGCAUCUCUUGUUUCCAUCUGCAGUUUCUAUAAAACAGAAUGAGAAUUUUAAAAUGCUUUUAAAGUAAUACGAGAGCAGAAGAUCCUGCUCUUGGACAGACAUUUCCCACAUCUUUUACACUGUUUUCCUACAACAGAGCUUUAUAUCUGUUUUACUAAAUCUUUUCUAAGCAUUCAGUGUAACUACUUACAUAAAAAUAUUUUUAUUAGUAUUCCAGACAUUGCAAUCCCAUUUUCCCCAUGUUAUAUAAUGUGUAGCAAUCAAGGCUGCAGUGAACUAGACCAGCUUUUACUGUGACACUGGCAUUUACUUCAUUUUCUUCCCUUGAUGUUCACAUUUUGCUUCAUGUGUUCAUCCUAAAGUCGAUGGCUAUAAAAUAAUCUAUCAAAGUCUGUAGGCAAUUAAGUCUUUCCAUAGGCUGUGCCGUUGAAAGAUGAGGACUAGAUCAAAUCAUUUCUCGUGGCUGUCUUCAUGUAAAAUUUGGAUCAUGGUAUGAAUACCAGUGUCAAAAUUUGGCUUCUUUGAAAAGUCAGUUCCUUAUUUUCCAAAGAUUACCCUGUGUCUGUAGAAAGGUUUUUAUAUAUUUCUUGCAACUGUAUUCUUUUUCUUUUCCUUAUGUACCAUGACAGUGGGCAUGCUUAAAGGAGACGCAAUAUCAUUAUUGCAGAGCCCAGGAAGGAAGGUCCCUUCCCUAGGAAGGUAAGUAACAUGGUAUAGUGGAGCUAAAUUCUCAGGUAAACUAUUUCAAGUAUUUUCACCAAGUCUAUUUUUAAGAAAAUGUAAUCUUAUUUUCCGUGGGCUAUCCACCAGAAUAUUGCAAUAAAUGCAUGGCUACAACCCUGAAAACAUUCUGUUUAAUUUUCCACCCCAGAAAAUUUGCUUCAUUUAGCCAUGCCUCUUGUCAACCAAGGAAAGUCCAGUUCUUGACAUAGGAAAAGCCCUUUCUGCUUCUAGCAUUAAGUUAAAUUUCAUAGACCAGGUUACAGACCAAGGUUUGCUUCUCUAUAAAUGUAAAAUUUUCCAUUAAUUUUUAGAAUGGAUGGUUAAAUUGAUCUGUUUUCCUUAUGACUAAUUUUCAAUAAAGCCAAAUAUUUCAAGUAACGUUAAUAAAAAAAAGUGUUUCUUAUAUAGACUUUCUGUUCAAAUGUCCCUUUACAAAAAUAAAAGAGA